rnacentral:rRNA from 1 species
UACGGGGGGGGCAAGCGUUGUUCGGAAUUACUGGGCGUAAAGGGCUCGUAGGUGGCCAACUAAGUCAGACGUGAAAUCCCUCGGCUUAACCGGGGAACUGCGUCUGAUACUGGAUGGCUUGAGUUUGGGAGAGGGAUGCGGAAUUCCAGGUGUAGCGGUGAAAUGCGUAGAUAUCAGGAGGAACACCAAUGGCGAAGGCAGCUCACUGGGACGAUACUGACGCUGAGACGCGAAAGCGUGGGGAGCAAACAGG